CAACCCUCAAGCGCUGUAGUGCUUGGUGUUGGGGCUUUUCUGCUGGCAACAGCAGGCCCUGAAAGCAAGUGGCGGGCUCGCCGUGACCCUGAGCGUAGUAGCUUACACAUCGCUUCUGCGGCUCGCGGCGGGUUCCCAGCCGUGAAAACCCCCUAAUUUUCACAA
rnacentral:misc_RNA from 1 species